CACCCACACACCCACAUGUCAUAGAGAGAAGGAGAGAAGUGGAGAGUGAGCUUGUGGGAGGGAGAAAGAAGAGAGAGAGCAAGUCUUGCAAAACUAGCUUUAUAAGCAUUUAACAGAUGAUAGUUGUAGAUUUUAUCAAAGUAAGAUCAGAGUUAUUUUCAGAGAUCCAUGGAGAAAUAUUGAGAUUAGAGUAUUGGCGAUGGAGGAGAUUGAUUUGAGAAGCUGUUCGACACUAUAAAAGAGCAUAUACCACAACCAUCAUUUACUGUGCAUAAUGUGGCCAAAUUAGCAUUACUCUUUUUCAAAUCGGCUUUGGGUUUGAACGACCAAGCAAUUCAAAGUACAUCCUUGGAACUCUCUGGUGAGCAUUUACUUCAUAUCUUGCACAAUUUUUACCUCCCCACAUCUGAUGAAAGCCCUGAAAACAUGCACAAACCUCACCUCCCCAUAUCUAACAAUACCAAUAACGAUGGUGAUCGUCAAGCCUUGCAAACAACUGGAUUCAAAAAUUGUGUCAUUGGACUUUUGGAGGCAGGAAUUCAAUUUCAACCUAACAUCAAUGUUGACAUCGAAGAAAUUUUCCUACACAUAAAGCA